rnacentral:ribozyme from 1 species
GGUCUCGCACUUGUGGUGCAGCUCCUCGGCUUGGCCACAAGCUUCGUGGCUCCGCCUG